CUCACCAUGGAGUCUCCCCUCACCAUGGAGUCUCCCCUCACCAUGGAGUCUCCCAUCAUCAUCAACCCAGGAUCUUCUUCUGCUCUCUUGAAUUGGGGUGAGAAGCCACAAAGGGACUGAACUUUAUGUUGGCCACUAGAGGAAGAUUUCUGAUUUUUUAUUGGUGCACUUGGUCACCCAGCAUAAAAAGCAGAGUCAAGGAGUCACAGGCUUUUAUAGACAGGAAAGUGAAAUCCAGAGAGAUAACCAUCACACAAGACUUUGUCCUCGAAUUCCAUGAGUGGGAGCACCCAAUCAGAAUUGCCUGUAUCUGGAUGAUGUCUGUCAUUUAUCUACCUCCCAGACUUGUUGGGAUCAUCAGGUUUUGGCAUUGUGACCUGCAGCUGCUAUCCACAUCCUUGUCCAUGUCUCCUGGUGAAUAUGUGCUCCCUGGGGCUGACGUUCUAGCCCUGGGAGCUGACCUUACUUUGUGCUAAUGAGAUUUCUACCCAUCUGUGACCAUAAAGGGAAAGCUGAUAAAGACCCUGGAGUUUGGGAAUCUGAAGCGGUGGAUCUUAUUGUCAUGGAUUGGUUCCUAUUCAUGACAAAUUCAUAUUGCAAAGGACCGAAAACCCAGCAGUUUUCUUAAACGUCAGAAUAAACCUGCUGUUAUUUUAAAAGCAUUAAAAAUUCUUUUAAACGGCAAGAAUCACUCUUAAAAGUCUUUUUAUUUCAAAUUAAUAGCUUCUAAAUGUGAAGGUCUCUGCUUUGUGACUAACAAAAAUGUUUGCCAAUAUUCCAAAUUAGAUUAUUUUGUUUUUAGCAAGAAUCAGACUUUUUUUUUGAGCCAGAGGAGACUUUAGAGACACUAUCUAUCUAGUUCAACCCCUUCAUUUCAUAUUAUCAGUAACAGAAGCCUCCUUGAGGUCAAAUGUCUUCCCAAGGUCAUACUUAACUAGUUAGGAUAGAACGAGGACUAGAAUGAGGACUUCUGACUUCCAGCCUUGUGUAUUAUUAAACUCCCGCAAAAUACUACACAGAGCCACCUUUCAAAUUAUGGAAUGUGUAGAAGACUGAGAAUGUUAUUCUGCCGUUGUCACCAUCAUUAUACCUGACUUAUUAGUACACCCACUUGAGCAUGAGCCCAUCUGCUUGACUGUCCUGGCACCCCGUUUUUCCCACAGAGGAAUGGUAAGCUCACACAUAUUCCAUGGCACUGGUGCAGUGGUCAUUUUUUGUAAUAUUUUGAUCCAUAUGGCAACAGAUGGCUGUAAAUUUUUUUUUUUUUUUUUUGAGGAAGAUUAGCUCUGAGCUAACACCUGCUGCCAAUCCUCCUCUUUUCACUGACCAAGAUUGGCCCUGAGCUAACAUCUGUGCCCAUCUUCUUCUACUUUAUAUGUGGGAUGCCUGCAUGGCUUGAUAAGGGGUGCAUAGGUCUGGCGCGGGAUCCAAACCUGCGAACCCUGGGCUGCUGAAGUGGAGUGUGUGAACUUAACCACUAUGCCACCAGGAUGGCCCUGUAAAUUGUUAAA
rnacentral:lncRNA from 1 species